CAAUAUCGGCUAUCCACAUCUCCAGUUUGUUCAUAAGUUCGAUAAAACUCUGCGAAUCCCAAGGCACUGGAGGAUGUAAACUCUAUAUUGGUAGGAAACCCAGAAGCUCAGACAAUCAAGAACUUCAAUGGGAAAAGGAAGCAAGACAAGUUAAAACAAAAACAAACCAAAAAACCCCACCCACCCAUAUGCUUAUAUUUUACAGAUCUGUAAAUAUGAAAUAUGAGUUCUGUAAUACAGAAUGUUUAUUGAAGGGAAUGAUCUUUCAAAAGAUGUAUCAGGAUUUACUGACUAAAUACUUUGCCUGCAGUCUUAUGCUUUACUUCGAGCUUAAAGUGCCCAUAAAAAAUACCACUAUGGGGAUAGUAAUAUAUGGGGAUAGAUCAGUGGCACAGUGUUUCCCUAGCAUGUGGAAAGCCCUAGGUUCAAUCCUCAGUUACUAAAAACAAACAAACAAGCGAUACAAUAAUUGUAGGACCAGAGAAAUAACUCAGCAGGUAAUGGUGCUAGCCAAAUCUGAACUCUCAGAAAGUUCAGAGGAGUGGGUUUCCUACAGGAAGAGAUGAAAAACAAAAGAAGUUAGGAUACAGCAUGAAACCUCAAUAGAAAACUUUGGUUUCAAAAGGAGAUUUCAAAGGGGAGUUUAUCUCAGUAUUGUUUUUCAUGAUCAGUCAUCAAAUAAGCAUCAUUAGAUUACUUACCCUGUGCUAAACAGUGGGAGACCCAGAGAACAAAGAAACAGUAUCUUUUCAUAAGAGAACUCCCUGUGGUAUGUAAAGAUAGGAGGGAAGACAGACAUGACUGUGGGGCAAGACACCCAGAUAACUAGAGCAUUACAAAUUCUGUAACAAUGUAUACAGACAGGCCACCAGGGUCAAAGAAUUUCAGAAGAGCCGGGCUUUGAAACAUUUUCACACAGAAGAUAGGAGACAACGCAGAGUAGAUUUUAUGCUGGGUGUAACUGUUAGUUUCCCAUAAAAGAAUCACUCUCCACAAUUUUGGAGCUAACAUGACCUUAAUUUUGUAUGGCAAACCAAUAUAUCAGUCCCAAGGGACAAAUUCAGAUGGCCCAGAACCUAUUGUCCAUUGGUAUACAUCUUUUCAGCCUGUGUUUUAAGGGCUGAAAAGGCCUAUAGAGUUCCUUUUUCCUCACGUAAAAUGACACAGAAGCAUGAAGUGAAAUUCUGUGUUCUUGUCCAUUCUUUCCAGCUUAUGAUGUUGAUAUGUCGACCAAAUGCCUGAAACUGCUACAGCCAUUGUAUUACCUAGAGAGUAGAGUAACAACAUUGGGGAAAUCUCAGUUCAGUCUCCUUGAUUAGGAACUCCACUGAUUUCCUGACUCAGAGCCUGAGCCAGCUAUCUCCAGAGUUCUAGAUCAUGAGAGUAGAAACACCCCAGUAUCCGUAAUGAAUUCACCAGGAGAAGAAUGCUUGCAAACACCCGAGGAAUGAAAAGCAGUGCAAUCGCAGAACCAUGAGUGCUGUUUUACAACUUGAAUUUAAUAUAUAAGGUGGGAAAGAGAUCAAUAAAGCUGGAAAACAAAACAGGAA